CUAACACAUGAUGGUGCUGUUAUAAAAACAGAGACACAGUUCCAGCUGCAGAUGGAGGAAGAUGAAAUCAGUGGUUGUUUGCACUUGUUUAUCUAACUGAAGAGCUGCUUUUCCCGCUGAAAAGGACUGCUGUGUCCCCAGUGCAUCAGAAUGACCAUCACUUCAUGUGCUGCUGUUACUGCUGUGGAAAGCCUCCUAAGAGGGCUAAGGCGACUUUGGGCCACAUGAACCCUCAGGACAUUGUCAUUCAUGGCUUUGUUAAAGAAUCCGGUAAGAGUGGGCGCCGCUUUUGUUGCUGACCCCUAUGAAUGUUAACGCAAUAUGGCCGCAGCCUGGCUGA
rnacentral:lncRNA from 1 species